GGAAAAGAAACCAACAGGGAUUGCCUUAGUAGCGGCGAGUGAAGCGGCAAAAGCUCAAAUUUGAAAUCUGGCACUUUCAGUGUCCGAGUUGUAAUUUGAAGAAGGUAUCUUUGGGUCUGGCUCUUGUCUAUGUUUCUUGGAACAGAACGUCACAGAGGGUGAGCAUCCCGUGCGAUGAGAUGUCCCAGACCUAUGUAAAGUUCCUUCGAAGAGUCGAGUUGUUUGGGAAUGCAGCUCUAAGUGGGUGGUAAAUUCCAUCUAAAGCUGAAUAUUGGCGAGAGACCGAUAGCGAACAAGUACAGUGAUGGAAAGAUGAAAAGAACUUUGAAAAGAGAGUGAAAAAGUACGUGAAAUUGUUGAAAGGGAAGGGCUUGAGAUCAGACUUGGUAUUUUGUAUGUUACUCUCUCGGGGGUGGCCUCUACAGGUUACCGGGCCAGCAUCAGUUUGAGCGGUAGGAUAAGUGCAAAGAAAUGUGGCACUGCUUCGGUAGUGUGUUAUAGUCUUUGUCGAUACUGCCAGCUUAGACUGAGGA
rnacentral:rRNA from 1 species